rnacentral:rRNA from 1 species
UACGAGGGGGGCAAGCGUUGUUCGGAAUUAUUGGGCGUAAAGAGCUCGUAGGCGGUUCGUCACGUCGGCUGUGAAAUCCCGAGGCUCAACCUCGGGUCUGCAGUCGAUACGGGCGGACUUGAGUACUGCAGGGGAGACUGGAAUUCCUGGUGUAGCGGUGAAAUGCGCAGAUAUCAGGAGGAACACCGGUGGCGAAGGCGGGUCUCUGGGCCGAUACUGACGCUGAGGAGCGAAAGCGUGGGGAGCGAACAGG